GCUUGUCUCAAAGAUUAAGCCAUGCAUGUCUAAGUAUAAACAAAUUUGUACUGUGAAACUGCGAAUGGCUCAUUAAAUCAGUUAAAGUUUAUUUGAUAGUACCUUACUACUUGGAUAACCGUAGUAAUUCUAGAGCUAAUACAUGCGAAAAGACCCGACUUUUUGGAAGGGUUGUAUUUAUUAGAUACAAAACCAAUGCGGGUUCUGCUCGCCAUUGUGUUGAAUCAUAGUAACUUAUCGAACGCCAUAGCCUUGUGCUGGGCGUAGAUCAUUCAAAUUUCUGCCCUAUCAGCUUUCGACGGUAGUGUAGUGGACUACCGUGGCGUUAACGGGUAACGGGGAAUUAGGGUUCGAUUCCGGAGAGGGAGCCUGAGAAACGGCUACCACAUCCAAGGAAGGCAGCAGG
rnacentral:rRNA from 1 species